ACACAUCUUCCUUAUUUUUCCUUUGUUCCUCUCUGUGAAGUCUCUCUCUGAGUGUUAGUGUACGUUGGUUGUGACAUUCUUCUCAUCUCGUUUUUUCUCCUUCGUGUCUAGUAGGUGUGUUUCGGAAGCAAACCUGAUCACCAUGAUCAGGUUUGCUUCUCCAUGCUGCUACAUCUUAAGGCGUUCUCACGGAUUUGUGGAGGAGGAUCCUACGAUAUCAAUCGGGGAUGGCUUUGACAUUGAUCGUUGUCACUCUCAUUCAUUCUAGGGUUUGGAUGAUGGUUUUAUCAAUCAAUGAUGAUGGCUUUGAUGGACACGCUUCUUCUCUGUGCUACGUCUUCAAGGGUUAUCAAUGAUGGUUUUAUCAAUCAAUGAUGGUUGUGAUGACAUUACGUUGGUUGUGAGAGGUUUUAAUUAGAUGAUGUUUUUGUCAACCAAUGAUGAUGGCUUUGAUGGAAAUGCUUCUUCUCUGUGCAACAUCUUAAGAUUGAUACUUAUUGUGGAAGAUGCUUUGAUCGGUCUUUGAUGGUUUUGAUGGAUCAUUUUUUUCUUCUCUGCGCUACAAUUUCAGAUCUUCGAGGCACCUGGAUUACUGUGUGGGAGUUUAACUUUCAGAUGUUCUUGUGGUUCCCAAACACAUUCAGAUGAGAGAUGCUCCUCAAAUUGUUUCCUAGCUAACGAGAAUCGUGGAGGCACCGGGACAAGUAUAGUUAUAUGCAAAUCUUUCUUCUUCUGGUCUAUCAUCUUUACAGUUAUUUUGAAGGACACCUUUGAUUGUCGUCGCUUCCUGUUAGUCUGUUACCUCUUUGACGAUCGUCGUCGGGUCGAGGCACUAGGAUUGCUAUGUUGAAUCUUAUCUUCUCGUUUAUCAUCUGUUUAGUAUGUGGAAAAACACUUAUGCUGAAUUAUUGUAGCUGGACUUGGUGGAGAUGUGAUCAGUGAAAAAGAGAAGUUGAGAUCGUACCGAGAGAAGAUUUGAAAUGGCAAAAUCAUGUAUCUAAAAGACUGCAAGCUUUGGAUAGAUCUUAUAAUGUCAACAAGGUCGAUCAGUCAAGAACAAGGUUGAAAUCAGAAUUCAUUAUCCAGUUUGAUGAUUUGGUGAUUGUCAUUGGUGCUACUAACAAGCCACACAGGAGUUGGAUUAGGAUGAUGCAUUGCUUAAGGAGAUUGGAAAGAACAUUAUCUGUCACCAGGAUCUUUAUAUCCACCAAUUGCUAAGAAACACAGAUUAGUUUAUUAUCACAACUAGACGUAUUACAGUUUCAAGUCAAGUAACUAAUAAGCUUCCUUAUGUUGCAGGAUAUUCAGGAAGCGAUCUUCAAGCACUGUGUGCAGAUAUUCUUACCAUCCAAGGAAAUCAAGUGAGACCGCUACAUCUGAUGAUUUGGUGAUUGCCAUUGGUGCUACUAACAAGCAACCGAAGAUGGCUGAUACAGUGCUUAGAAGAUGGUUUUGGAUGAUGCUUUUAUCGACAAGUGAUGCCUUUGACUGACCGUCCUCAGGCGUUUGUUUUGGAUGAUGCUUUUCUCUAUCAAUACUGAUGGCUUUGACUGAUCGUCCUCAAGCGUUCUCAUGGUCUUUGACUGCUCUUCUUCAGGCGUUCUCAUGGGUUCCAAUUGGAAUGGAGUAUAUAGUAACUCACAACUAUAAGCUUGCGGCCAGGUCUUUUGGAAGCAAAUUACUGAUCUGAUCAUUACCUUCUUCUACAUGCUACGCCAUCUUCAGGCAUUCUCACGGAUUUGUGGAGGAGGAUUCUACGAUUGAUCGGUGAUGGCUAUGACGGAUCCUUGUCACUCUCAUUCAUGUUAUUCUUCUAGGAUUGUGGAGGAUGCUUUGAUGGAUCUUUUUUUCUUCUCUGUGCUACAUCUUCAGGUUUCAAGUAAUGUGCUCAUCUUUCUAGUGACGCUGACAUCUAUGUUUUAACUCGAAGGCCUUGUCUUUUGUUAUAGAUAGUCGAGGUUUUAUAAGAUAAAAGCAUCAGAGAACCGUAGCAUCUCCAUCUUCAGCUUCAGUUUCCUGCAAGCAAACCUGCGAAAAAAUCUGGAAAUGUCCACGAUGAUAAGUUAGUAGAGAUGAUAAACGCAACAGUAGCGGAUAGAAGCCCAUCUGUGAAAUGGGAUGAUGUUGGUGGGCUGAACAACUAGUUAAAACGCUGUUUCAAGUUGCAAUAUCCAGGUAGAGAGAGAGAGAGCCUACUCUUACCUGAGUUUUAGACAAUACCAUGUAAGUUGUAUUUGAGACGGAACUGCUCCCUGAAUCGUGAUCGUUCAUGAUAAACAUGUUGUCAGUUGGAGGUCUGAAAAUGUUUUACUCUGGUUCUCAGAUAGAUCUUAUAAUGUUAACAAGGUCGAUCAGUCAAACAGAAGGUUGAAAUCAGAAUUCAUUAUCCAGUUUGAUGAUUUGGUGAUUGUCAUCGGUAUAUAUAUUCUGUUUUUUUUUGCUUUCCCUACUCAUUUACUUGGAUGUAAUGUUUUGCAGGGGCUACUAACAAGUAAGAAGCCAUAUGAGUUGGAUGAUGCAGUGCGUAGGAGAUUGGUACGAACGUUAUCUCUGUCACCAGGAUUUGCAUAUCCACCGAUUGCUAAGGAAAGUAUCUGUUUAUAUGCAUUUUAUCACUUGGUUAGGAGAAGAGAAUACAUGUACCAUUGCCAGAUUCAAAAGUCAGAACACUACUAUUUAAAACUAAACUGAAGUGCCAGCGACGACAUUGAUAAAAUCGUCAGAGAAACCGAAGGCAAGCUCCAUAAAUUUUGUAUAAGAAACACAGAUUAAAUUAUUAGCACUACUAAACGUGUUACAGUUUCGAGUAAA